rnacentral:misc_RNA from 1 species
GAUGAAGAACGCAGCGAAAUGCGAUAAGUAAUGUGAAUUGCAGAAUUCAGUGAAUCAUCGAAUCUUUGAACGCACCUUGCGCCCUUUGGCUAUUCUGAAGGGCAUGUCUGUUUGAGUAUCGUGAACACCUCAACUCUCAUGGUCUGCCAUGAUGAGCUUGGACUUUGGGGGUCUUGCUGGCCUACUGUCAGCUCCUCUCAAAUGAAUCAGCUUACCAGUGUUUGGUGGCACCACAGGUGUGAUAACUAUCUACGCUUGUGGUUUUCUGCCAGGUAACCUCCAGUGAUGGAGGUUCGCUGGAGCUCACAAAUGUCUCUCCUCAGCGAGGACAGCUUUUUGAACGUUUGAUCUCAAAUCAGGUAGGACUACCCGCUGAACUUAAGCAUAUCAAUAAGCGGAGGA